UGGUACCGAUUCUGGGAAAUCGUGCGCGCAUUACACUUAGUAAGAAGAAAUUUCACUUCUAACUGAAGCCAGACGAUGUAUCAGAAAGAACCAAACAAUAUACUAGUAAUAAAACGCGCGGAGUUUGUAACAAUAUAUCACUUUUGAAAAGAUUAAACAUGAACAAGUCUGCACUUCUUACUUUGGUUCUUAUCGGAUUCCUCGUCUUCACUGAAACCACUUAUGGCUUUUAUGCGACAUGGUGGAGUCGUCGUCGUGUUGCUCGUCGCAGAGUGCCUUUACGGGCGGAUGAAAUGGAAAUAGAACACGACACAGCAGAGGCAUUGAAGAUAAGGGAUAGACUUGAAGAAUAAUGAACACUCUUAUUCAUUGUACAAACUGAAAACAGACGAUAUCAAUAAAUUGUACAACACCACAGU